rnacentral:rRNA from 1 species
ACGACUCUUGGCAACGGAUAUCUUGGCUCUCGCAUCGAUAA